UACUUUAAUUUUUUUUAUUGUUUUUUUAUUUUGGGUUGGUUCUAACUUUUGUAAAUGCUUUUUUGAAAGUUUUAUUCUUGCUUUUUGUUAGUUUUUUUAUAUGUUUUAUAUACGUUGUUUUUAUAUUAAAUAUUUUUGUUGUAGUAUUUGUAAUUGAAUAUAAAUUUAGGUUUGAUUCAGUAAUAUAUGUAGAGAAGGUCAAUGUCGUGCCAGCAGCCGCGGUUAUACGUCAAUUCUCGAGACUAACUUUUUUGGUUUUAGGUAAUUUUAUUUUGUAUAUUUUUGUUUUAAUGUUUGGUGGAAUAUUAUUAAUUUAAUUUAUGCUAUUUAUGGUUUUUCUAUGUAAACUAUUUUUUAAACUAGGAUUAGAUACCCUAUUAUUUUAGACUAAUAUUUUUGCCAGGGUAGUAUUUUUUUUUUGAUUGAAACCUAAAGAAUUUGGCGGCAUUUUAUCUUUUUAGAGGAACCUGUUUCUUGAAUGAUGUUACACGAUUGGCACUACUUAUUUUAUUUGUUUGUAUAUUUCCGUUAUCAGAAUAUUUAUAGAUAAUAUUUUCAUGAUUUUUUAUUAAAUUUUAUUUCAGGUCAAGGUGCAGCUUAUAAAUAAGAGAUUAAUGGGUUACAAUAAUUUAAUUUAAAUGGAUAUUCUUUUUAAAUAUUGAAUUGAAGGUGGAUUUAUUAGUAAGCUUUUAUAAUUAUUAAAUCUGAACUGGCACUAAAUUGUGUACAUAUCGCCCGUCGCUCUCAUUUGUUUGAGAUAAGUCGUAACAAAGUAGAUUUACUGGAAAGUGAAUCUGGAUU
rnacentral:ncRNA from 1 species